rnacentral:rRNA from 1 species
UCUGAAUCUGCGAACGGCUCCGCAAACCAGCUAAUACAUGUAACAACCUCCUAGCGGUCCUGAAGGAUCACUUCCGAGUCUCCGGAUUCGAAGCCCUUCGCUUAAAAGGUAUUGCUAGCGAGGAAGCGUGUAUCCUUUUGACUCCAUCUAUAUCCAAUGAUCACCCGUCGGAACAGGGGGUUGAAGGUCCCCGAGAGUUUUCUACCUCGGUGCAAGCGUUCGGCUAUCGACCUAUCAACUAGAUUGCAGUGUCACGGACUGCAAUGGUUGCUAC